rnacentral:lncRNA from 1 species
UGCCGCAACGGUGGCAGCGCCUUUGGGACCCGCUGCGUGUGCCCGCCCGGCUUCCGCGGGGACACCUGCCAGCACCCCAAGGAGGUGGCACGGUGCCUCAACGGUGGCACUUUGGAGAAGGGGACGUGCCGGUGUCCCCCCACGGCUUGGGAACCUCAGUGUGAGUGCGGUGGCACGGGACCGAGCACGGCGGUGGGGAAGGUGUUGUACGUCGGUGACACCGCGGGGACGAACGACACGGUGACGGCGAUGGGUGGUGGCACCGAGGAGAGCGCCACGGACGCGCCACCGGCGAGGCGGGAGAGGAAUGUCACCGGCAGAGCUGAGGGGGACAAUGCCACCGCUGUGGGAAGUGUCACCAGGGCCACCAUGGUGGACAGUGUCACCAGGGCCACCACCAGUGGCAGCGUCACGGGAAGGAACAGCACGGUCACCGCGGUGGUCAGCGUCAACACGGACCAUGAUGUGGUCACCACCAUGGAGAGGGACAUGAUGGUCACCAGCUCGGACCAUGAUGUGGUCACCAGCUCAGACCAUGAUGUGGUCACCACCAUGGAGAGGGGCAUGAUGGUCAGUGCCAACACGGACCAUGAUGUGGUCACCAGCUCAGACCAUGACGUGGUCACCAGCACAGAGAUGGCCACCAGGGUCAGGGGCAGCGUCCCCAUGGCCACCACCACUGGGGACAACACCACGACGGUGCCACCAGAGCGGCGGGUGAGAAACGUCACGGGCUCGUCCGUGAGGAGCCACACGGGGGCCACCACCGUGGAGGGUGAGACCGCAGCCGGGGACGGUGACACCGCGGUCACUCCGCCAGACCUCGCGGAGGGAGAGACCACGGCCAUGGAGGGUGAGAACGAGGUCACCGAGGGUGAGAACAUGGACACAGAGGGUGACACCGAGGCCACCCCCAUGGAAGGUGACACCGAGGCCACCCCCAUGGAAGGUGACACCGAGGCCACACCGGUGGCCACCACGGUGAGGAACACCAGGGCCACCACCGUGGAAAGUGACACCACGACGAUGCUGCCAGAGCUCCUGGGAGGCCUCAGCAGGGCCACCACCAGGGCAAGGGACAGCACGGCCAUGGGGAACGCCACCAGGGCCACCACCCUGGAAAGUGACACCAGGGCCACCACCAUGGAAAGUGACACCACGGCCACCACCCUGGAGAGCCACACCCUGUCCACCCUCCCCGUCGUCCCUGCUGACGUCACCUCAACGCCAGCCCCGCCCAAUGCCACCAACACCACCCUGGAUGUCACCGAGACCACGGCGGUGACGCCCCAGGCCCUGCCCAACGCCACCGAAGCCACCGGGGCGCUGGGCCACGGCU